rnacentral:rRNA from 1 species
UACGUAGGGGGCUAGCGUUGUCCGGAUUUAUUGGGCGUAAAGAGCUCGUAGGCGGUUCGGUAAGUUGGAUGUGAAAUCUCCAGGCUCAACUUGGAGGGGUCAUCCGAUACUGCCGUGACUGGAGUUCGGUAGAGGAGUGUGGAAUUCCUGGUGGAGCGGUGAAAUGCGCAGAGAUCAGGAGGAACACCCGUAGCGAAGGCGGCACUCUGGGCCGAUACUGACGCUGAGGAGCGAAAGCGUGGGGAGCGAACAGG